AUUGAACGCUGGCGGCAUGCCUUACACAUGCAAGUCGAACGGUAACAGGUCUUCGGAUGCUGACGAGUGGCGAACGGGUGAGUAAUACAUCGGAACGUGCCUAGUAGUGGGGGAUAACUACUCGAAAGAGUGGCUAAUACCGCAUGAGAGCUACGGAUGAAAGAAGGGGAUCGCCAGACCUUGUGCUACUAGAGCGGCCGAUGGCAGAUUAGGUAGUUGGUGAGAUAACAGCUUACCAAGCCUACGAUCUGUAGCUGGUCUGAGAGGACGAUCAGCCACACUGGGACUGAGACACGGCACCGACUCCUACGGGAGGCAGCAGUGGGGAAUUUUGGACAAUGGGCGCAAGCCUGAUCCAGCAAUGCCGCGUGCAGGAUGAAGGCCUUCGGGUUGUAAACUGCUUUUGUACGGAACGAAAAGCCCCGGGUUAAUACCCUGGGGUCAUGACGGUACCGUAAGAAUAAGCACCGGCUAACUACGUGCCAGCCGCCGCGGUAA
rnacentral:rRNA from 1 species